rnacentral:tRNA from 1 species
GGAGAGGUGGCCGAGUGGUCGAAGGCGCACGCCUGGAACGCGUGUAGGCGGUAACCCGUCUCCAGGGUUCGAAUCCCUGUCUCUCCGCCA